rnacentral:rRNA from 1 species
UAAUGGGGCCCAGACACCCUGAAGGCAUCAGAUCCCAUCUGUUCUUGGAAGCUAAGCAGGUUCAACCCUGAUUAUUAUUUGGAUAGGAAACCAUAAAAUAAUACUAGGUGCUGUAUACA